AGAGCUUGGAGAAGAGAAAGAAACGAGUGUGUGUAUGAUUUUGAAGGAAGGUUAUUUGUAGGAUGUGCAAGUUGCAGUGAAGUUUCGGGAGACUAACAGGAAUGGAAUCUUAUUUGAAAUAUUCCACAUUGAAGGGUGGAUUUGUGGAACUCUGAAUGGGAAUCUAUUCCAUGUGACUACAGAGUUCAGACUUAAGAACAAUGGAAGAACAUUCUAGGAGACCAAAUCUAACUGUGUAUAAGGAAUAUCAUUUUCACAAUUUCAGCUGUCCCUCCCACCAAAGGGCAGGCGACUGUGCUUUUGAUCUUUUUUAUCGCCAAUGCCUGGCAACAUGCCCGACUUGCAGUCGACUUCAGUGUUGGUUUACUAAAUCCAUUAAUAGGUGUUCAAAAACAGCAUGAAGAGCUAAAUGAUGAGAAAAUUUCCAACUUCGCUAAGGCCUACUCUUGUUCUCUUCUAGUCACAAGCUCAUCAUGAUGGCCCUCUGUGGAGCAGCUUGCUCCGGUGAGCGUGCAUUCAGCUAUCAAAUCCCAGGAGGCCCAUUAGACCUCAACCAAAUGACAGCCCGUAAAGUUCCUCGGAGUGAAGAAUUAGGUUGAGCUGUUAACCUUCCCCAUGCAAAGGACAACAAAGAAAUUCUAGUAAGAGGCAAAAGGACAGAAACUCAAUUUACUGUUUUACUAUUAAAUUCUCAUCCCUCGCUCACAGAAAAAAAUGUGUUCGCUUUCACAGCCAUUUUCCUUUGGCGCUUGGCAUAGGAGUCUACCUGCAGCAGCCUCUGCUUCUCCGCCAUUUAUUAUCCCAUUCCCGCGUGCUGCCUACUCCACUCAAGCACCUUCUAUAAAGUGAUACUGCCUAAGCUGAAGUGCUAAAAUCUGCCUGCCCUAAAUGGGAUAUGAAAAUGUGGGAAUAUUAGCCCUUAAACAGUAGGCUAGAAUUUCUUUCAUCCAUCUAUCCCUAAGGCAAACUGGGUUUUAAAGCCAAAAUCACAGGUUGCCUUUUGCUUUGUAAAUCAGCAGUUGGAUGUGUAAUUGGGGUUUUUUUUUUUAAAUGUCAAAAUGACUCUUGGGUGUUGAUUUGGCAAGUGGAAAUAACAUAGAAAGGCUGUAUAAGUAGUUUUAGAAUGGCAGUUAAAAUCUCAUAAUCUGACUUUAACAAUUGAUUUUGCUCCAAAUUUCCAUAUUGGUAUUAUUCAGCUUUUGGCUGAGGAUCUGGAAAUGGAACUUUUCCCGGUGAAACUUGGACUAAACCUAAUAUUGAACUUAUCGUGUUCAUAGUUUGGGUAGGUAAAUUUUAUACAUCUAAUUUGCAGACCAGCUUAUAGAAACAGGAGAUGAAAAGCCCAUUUCAUUUAUUCCCCUGGUGGGGUGGAACAUUUUCUUCCAAUAUGUUUUCCAAUUUACUUUUGAAAUUUAUGGAGCUUAAGAAAAGUACCAUUCCAUUAUCUAAUAGUUCUUGCUAAUAGGCAGUUUCCUUAAAUACCCAGCCUAAAUUUUCC